UGAGAGGUGACUCAUACAUCAAAAACAUCUUAUUUUGAUUUUGAAUGGCGUAGUGACAAGACAUUUUGCGUUCUCUCUAUCCGUGUACAACCACGUAAUAACGUGGUAUUGUUAGGUUGCAACGUAGACAGGAAAUGGUGGAGGGUGUUUUGCAGAAGGGGAUUGGAAGCUUGCCUAGGAUGAUUAUCAGAGCGUCAAUGACUGGACAAUUGGCAACGAUCGGGAAUCAUUCAUUCUACCAUCAAUAAUGAAAUAUCCCUUCAAAGGAAUGACACAUAUCUAUUAAUCAAUAUGGCGAAUGAACGAACGAACGAGCGAACAAAGGAACGAAGAAACGAAAGGACGAAAGCAUCAACCCUAAUGCACGAAUUCAUUGUAAUUAGGUUUGAUCGUGCAUACCACUUUAAUGGAUACGAUAUAUCGAAGCAUUAAAACUCAGUAGACUCAGUUAACCAAAUUAUUAUCCAAGUUUGUCUCUUUUCAGUCGAACUAUUUGAUGCUUGAUUUAUCUUUCAUUACAUCUAUUUAUCUUCUUCUUCUUCUUCUUUCUCAUCUUAUUUUACUACUACUUCUUCUACGUCUUCUUUUUCUUCUUCUUCUUCCUUCUCUUCAUCAUUUUCUGUUUAUAUUCGAACGUUCAUCCUCUAAACGUCCUUUCAAACUAAAACAAACUUUCACAGAGUUUUAACGUUCGACGUACUUAGUGAUUUUCUAAUUGGGUUACUCCACCAGAACGGGAAUGGAAAUCGUAAAAUGAGAAAAAAAGGAAAAAGAAAACAAAAGAUAAAAAGGAAAAAAAAAAGAUUGAAAAAGAGAGUUAAAGAGAAAAAGAAAAGUACUAAUGCCAUCGACGAGACGAAGAUCGCUUGAGAAACACCGCUGUCGACGACUUUACUCUCGCCUAAGUUUUAUUGCGGACAGUAUAAACCGUCCUGGCGGUAGCAAGUACAAACACGGACUUCCGUCGGGUCGGCUAUGGUGUAAACGAUUUAAAGUGCAUUGGAUAAGUCUCUCAGGAUCGAGUCGAGUUAAAUGAAAAUAAACCUUCUUUAGAUGGGCAAAUAUUCUCCUCCUCCUCCCCCCAUCCUCCAGCUUUUUCUUCUUGGUAUUUCUUUUUUGUUCCUUUAUUUCUCUCUCUCUUUAUAAUAUUGUUAUUUAUUCGUUUCAAAUUAGGUUCAAGUGUGAAUAAUUGAUAAGGUUUUUUUCUUUUCUAUUAUUUGUAAUAAAUUUUUACAACGGUUUGUCUUAA